AUUGAACGCUGGCGGCAGGCCUAACACAUGCAAGUCGAAUGGAAACACGAAACGGCUUGCUGUUUCGCUGACGAGGCGCGGAGGGGUGAGAAAUGUCUGUGAAACUCCCUUAUGGCGGGGGUAAACUAGUGGAAACGGUAGCUAAUACCGCAUAACGUCUCAAGACCAAAGAGGGAGACCUUCGGGCCUCUUGCCAUCAGAUGUUCCCAGAUGGGAUUAGCUAGUAGGUAGGGUAACGGCUCACCUAGGCGACGAUCCGUAGCUGGUCUGAGAGGAUGACCAGCCACACUGGAACUGAGACACGGUCCAGACUCCUACGGGAGGCAGCAGUAGGGAAUAUUCCACAAUGGGCGAAAGCCUGACGCAGCAAUGCCGCGUGUAUGAUGAAGGUCUUCGGGUCGUAAAGCACUUUUAGCGGGGAGGAACGGAGUAAAGUUUAUACCUGCGCUCAUUGACGUUACCUGCAGAGAAAGCCCCGGCUAACUCCGUG
rnacentral:rRNA from 1 species